CAGCAGCCGCGGUAAUACGUAGGGUGCAAGCGUUGUCCGGAAUUAUUGGGCGUAAAGAGCUCGUAGGCGGUUUGUCGCGUCUGCUGUGAAAUCCCGAGGCUCAACCUCGGGCUUGCAGUGGGUACGGGCAGACUAGAGUGCGGUAGGGGAGAUUGGAAUUCCUGGUGUAGCGGUGGAAUGCGCAGAUAUCAGGAGGAACACCGAUGGCGAAGGCAGAUCUCUGGGCCGUAACUGACGCUGAGGAGCGAAAGCGUGGGGAGCGAACAGGAUUAGAUACCCGCGUAGUCCCUGUCUCUUAUAC
rnacentral:rRNA from 1 species